UACGUAGGGGGCAAGCGUUGUCCGGAUUUAUUGGGCGUAAAGAGCGUGUAGGCGGCCAUACAGGUCCGUUGUGAAAACUGGAGGCUUAACCUCCAGACGUCGAUGGAAACCGUAUGGCUAGAGUCCGGAAGAGGAGAGUGGAAUUCCUGGUGUAGCGGUGAAAUGCGCAGAUAUCAGGAGGAACACCGAUUGCGAAGGCAGCUCGCUGGGACGUCACUGACGCUGAGACGCGAAAGCGUGGGGAGCAAACAGG
rnacentral:rRNA from 1 species